GACAGAGAGGACAGGUGAGGACAGGUGAGGACAGAGAGGACAGGUGGGGACAGGUGAGGACAGGUGAGGACAGGUGAGGACAGGUGAGGACAGAGAGGACAGGUGAGGACAGGUGAGGACAGAGAGGACAGGUGAGGACAGGUGAGGACAGGUGAGGACAGAGAGGACAGGUGGGGACAGGUGAGGACAGAGAGGACAGGUGAGGACAGGUGAGGACAGAGAGGACAGGUGAGGACAGAGAGGACAGGUAAGGACAGGUGAGGACAGAGAGGACAGGUGAGGACAGGUGAGGACAGAUGAGGACAGGUGAGGACAGAGAGGACAGGUGAGGACAG